GCUAGCGGGGAUAGCUCAGUUGGGAGAGCGUCAUAUUGAAGAUCUGAAGGUCACGUGUUCGAUCCACGUUCACCGCAUUC
rnacentral:tRNA from 1 species